UUAGCAGUAGGGAAUCUUCCACAAUGGACGAAAGUCUGACGGAGCAACGCCGCGUGAGUGAUGAAGGCUUUCGGGUCGUAAAACUCUGUUGUUAGGGAAGAACAAGUGCUAGUUGAAUAAGCUGGCACCUUGACGGUACCUAACCAGAAAGCCACGGCUAACUACGUGCCAGCAGCCGCGGUAAUACGUAGGUGGCAAGCGUUAUCCGGAAUUAUUGGGCGUAAAGCGCGCGCAGGUGGUUUCUUAAGUCUGAUGUGAAAGCCCACGGCUCAACCGUGGAGGGUCAUUGGAAACUGGGAGACUGAGGCAGACGGAAAC
rnacentral:rRNA from 1 species